rnacentral:lncRNA from 1 species
UUAAAUCUAUUAUAGGAAUUACUAGGAUUUGAUUUAGGAUUUAGGGUUUGGUUUAGGAUUUAUUUUUUAGAUUUGAUUAGGGUUUGAUUUAGGAUUUAGGAUUUAAUUAGGAUUUGAUUUAGGAUUUAGAAUUUUAUUAGGAUUUGAUUUAAGAUUUAAUUAAAGUUUAAUUUAGGAUUUAGGCUUUUAUUAGGAUUUGAUUUAGGAUUUAGGAUUUUAUUAGGGUUUAUUUAGGAUUUAAGAUUUAGUUUUUGGCCUAAAGUUUGAAUGAAGUCUAAUAAGAUUUUAACUAAGAUCAAAUUAAGAUUGAAUUAAGAUGUAUUUGAGAUAUACUUCUGAUCAUUUUAAUAUUUUUUUAAGAUUUCUUAUUAUUUCUUUGUAAUUCUUUUCAGGUUUCUUUGAAUUUGAUUAAAGCCUACUUAACAUUUUUAUGGUCUAAUUAGAAUUUAGUUAGUAUUCUAUUAGAGUUAGGAUUUUUUUUUUUUUUUUUUUUUUUUUUUUUUUUCCAUUCUAUCUUCCAUAGUGAGGUGCUUGGAACAUUUUCAAGCAAGAUUUCACGUAUUACGACAACGUCUUUUAAAUAAUAGAUUCUUGCAUGCAAUGGCUUAAAUAAUAAAUUAUUUCAAAGAUUUUGCCUUUGGCAUUGUUAAUAAUAAAUCUUUGAUAUUAUCCUUCAACUCAUAUCAAAAUUGAUUGAUAAUGGCUUUAUCAUUUCAAUCUAAGUCGCAAGUAAGGUUUUGGAAUUCAGCAAUAUAUAUGGUGG